rnacentral:rRNA from 1 species
AACAAAACGCUGGCGGCGUGUCUUAAGCAUGCAAGUUGAGCGGCAAGGAGGAGAGAUCCUCCCUAGAGCGGCGGACUGGUGAGUAACGCGUGGGUAAUCUAUCGUAGGCAUGGGGAUAGUCACUAGAAAUAGUGGGUAAUACCGAAUACGUUCCAUGAGGGGAGUAUUCAUGGAAGAAAGGGUGCUACGGCACUGGCCUUAGGUGAGCUCGCGUCCCAUUAGCUAGUUGGUGAGGUAAAGGCCACCAAGGCGAUGAUGGGUAGCCGGCCUGAGAGGGUGUACGGCCACACUGGGACUGAGAUACGGCCCAGACUCCUACGGGAGGCAGCAGCUAAGAAUAUUCCGCAAUGGACGAAAGUCUGACGGAGCGACGCCGCGUGGAUGGAAGAAGGCCGAAAGGUUGUAAAAGUUCUUUUCAGAUGGGAAGAUAAUGACGGUACCAUCAAGAAGAAGCCCCGGUAACUCCGUGCCAGCAGCCGCGGUAAUCUAAGUCUACG